rnacentral:rRNA from 1 species
AAUGAACGCUGGCGGCAGGCCUAACACAUGCAAGUCGAACGGAUCCUUCGGGAUUAGUGGCGGACGGGUGAGUAACGCGUGGGAACAUACCCUUUGGUACGGAAUAGCCUCGGGAAACUGGGAGUAAUACCGUACGUGCUCGCAAGAGGAAAGAUUUAUCGCCAAAGGAUUGGCCCGCGUUGGAUUAGGUAGUUGGUGGGGUAAUGGCCUACCAAGCCGACGAUCCAUAGCUGGUUUGAGAGGAUGAUCAGCCACACUGGGACUGAGACACGGCCCAGACUCCUACGGGAGGCAGCAGUGGGGAAUCUUAGACAAUGGGGGAAACCCUGAUCUAGCCAUGCCGCGUGAUCGAUGAAGGCCUUAGGGUUGUAAAGAUCUUUCAGAUGG